UACAGAGACUGCGAACGUUAUUCGGAUUCACUGGGCGUAAAGGGUGCGCAGGCGGCCGUGUGUGUGAGAUGUGAAAGCCCGGGGCUCAACCCCGGUGUUGCGUCUCAAACUACAUGGCUAGAGUAUGGGAGGGGGUAGCGGAAUUCACGGUGUAGCAGUGAAAUGCGUAGAUAUCGUGAGGAACACCAGCGGCGAAGGCGGCUACCUGGACCAUUACUGACGCUCAGGCACGAAAGCGUGGGGAGCAAAAGGG
rnacentral:rRNA from 1 species